rnacentral:tRNA from 1 species
CGCGGGGUGGAGCAGCACGGUAGCUCAUCGGGCUCAUAACCCGAAGAUCACAGGUUCAAAUCCUGUCCCCGCAACCA